GUUAAUUUAGGAACUCUAGGUGGGGGAAUCUCAGUAAGUGAUUGAGGAAGCUUCCUAGAAUUUGGGGUGGUGAGCUAACUGAAAAUCUGAAUUUUACACCAAGGUUUUCUAAUUAAAAAUGAAAAUUAGAAAAUGUCCUAAAGGCAAAACUUAGUUCAACUCUACAGCCCUAAUACCUUGCCUAUAAAGGCAUCGUUUCUUCACCAACAAGGGAAAUUUUUGGAGAUAAAAAUACUAAAAAUUUAAACAGCUAGAGUUUUUGGGAGGAAAAGUCUGAAAUAGUAUUGAGCGCAAGAAGAAACAACUUCAAAAUUCUUGUGUUUUUAGUGAACAAUUGGUCCAGUAUUGAGUUAGUCUCUUCAUUAUGAAACCCAAAAUGAUUUUCUUAGCUUAUUCUGGAAUGGAAGCUAGUUUAAGGGAUGUUGGGUCACUGUUCCAUUGAUGAAAUUCUGAACUCCUUCCGUUGUUUGCUUCUUCUUUAUUGAACUACUACAGCUGUUGUCAAAUAACUUAAAGAUCUUGUUUUGGUUUUUAUCUGGCUGUAUUCAGGUACACACUCCUGGGAUCUAUUGAUUGUGAAGUUAAAUUUGAAAAAUAAAAAAUAGAAGUUUAAAGCAUGAUACCAAUCUUAUUUGUGACUCACUUGUAUCUUUUGUUUUGACGUUAUGUUUCUUUUAGUAGCAUGAAAUGUUGUAUUAUCUAGUUGAGUCUUGUUUUAGACAUUGAGUUUUGUUAUUGUAUUUAGU
rnacentral:lncRNA from 1 species